rnacentral:rRNA from 1 species
GUUCGUCCUUGGAUCCUGACUUUGAUCCUGGCUCAGGACGAACGCUGGCGGCGUGCUUAACACAUGCAAGUCGUACGAGACGAUUGAAAGCUUGCUUUUGAAAGUCGAGUGGCAAACGGGUGAGUAACGCGAUAGGCAACCUGCCGUCAAAGAUGGGGACAACCAUGUCCGAAAGGACUGCUAAUACCGAAUGUUGUGGAACUUCCGCAUGGGAGCUCUACUAAAGAUGGCCUCUACUUGUAAGCUAUCGCUUUACGAUGGGUCUGCGUCAUGAUUAGCUAAGUUGGUGGGGUAACGGCCUACCAAGGCGACGAUCAGUAGCCGGUCUGAGAGGAUGAACGGCCACAUUGGAAACUGAGAUACGGUCCAGACUCCUACGGGAGGCAGCAGUGGGGAAUCUUCCGCAAUGGGCGCAAGCCUGACGGAGCAACGCCGCGUGAGUGAAGAAGGGUUUCGACUCGUAAAGCUCUGUUGUCGGGGACGAACGUGGAGAUGGUGAAUAACCAUUUCCAAUGACGGUACCUGACGAGGAAGCCACGGCUAACUACGUGCCAGCAGCCGCGGUAAUACGUAGAAGUGGCGAGCGUUGUCCGGAAUUAUUGGGCGUAAAGGGAGCGCAGGCGGGAGAUCAAGUCUAUCUUAAAAGUGCGGGGCUCAACCCCGUGAGGGGAUGGAAACUGGUCUUCUUGAGUGCAGGAGAGGAAAGCGGAAUUCCUAGUGUAGCGGUGAAAUGCGUAGAUAUUAGGAGGAACACCAGUGGCGAAGGCGGCUUUCUGGACUGUAACUGACGCUGAGGCUCGAAAGCGUGGGGAGCGAACAGGAUUAAAUACCCUGGUAGUCCACGCCGUAAACGAUGAAUGCUAGGUGUAAGAGGUAUCGACCCCUCCUGUGCCGGAGUU